rnacentral:tRNA from 1 species
ACCUGGGUGGCUCAGUCGGUUAAGCAUCUGACUUUGGCUCAGGCCAUGAUCUCACGGUUCGUGGGUUCAAGCCCCACGUCAGGCU